GAUGAACGCUGGCGGCGUGCUUAACACAUGCAAGUCGAACGAUGAAGCCCAGCUUGCUGGGUGGAUUAGUGGCGAACGGGUGAGUAACACGUGAGUAACCUGCCCUUAACUCUGGGAUAAGCCUGGGAAACUGGGUCUAAUACCGGAUAGGAGCGUCCACCGCAUGGUGGGUGUUGGAAAGAUUUAUCGGUUUUGGAUGGACUCGCGGCCUAUCAGCUUGUUGGUGAGGUAAUGGCUCACCAAGGCGACGACGGGUAGCCGGCCUGAGAGGGUGACCGGCCACACUGGGACUGAGACACGGCCCAGACUCCUACGGGAGGCAGCAGUGGGGAAUAUUGCACAAUGGGCGCAAGCCUGAUGCAGCGACGCCGCGUGAGGGAUGACGGCCUUCGGGUUGUAAACCUCUUUCAGUAGGGAAGAAGCGAAAGUGACGGUACCUGCAGAAGAAGCACCGGCUAACAACGUG
rnacentral:rRNA from 1 species